ensembl:misc_RNA
UGGGCUCCACGCCUCACCCCCUAGAUCUGCAUCGGAAUGCAGAAAAGAUCUUUAAAAAAGUUUUGAAUUCCUCAAUGAUUUUUCUUCUAGAAAGGCGGCUUAGGAUAAUUAUUUCAGCUUUAUUGAGGGCAGAUUAGUUGAAGUCUGGAUGCUGCGUUUCAAUACUCGUUGUACAUGGCUUUACAAUGUCG